UACGGGGGGUGCGAGCGUUGUCCGGAAUCACUGGGCGUAAAGGGCGCGUAGGUGGUUUGAUAAGGGUGUGGUGAAAGUCCGGGGCUCAACCCCGGAUCUGCCAUGCCGACUGUCAAACUCGAGGGCUGUAGAGGCAGACGGAAUUCCGGGUGUAGCGGUGGAAUGCGUAGAGAUCCGGAGGAAGACCGGUGGCGAAGGCGGUCUGCUGGGCAGUUUCUGACACUGAGGAGCGAAAGCCAGGGGAGCAAACGGG
rnacentral:rRNA from 1 species